rnacentral:rRNA from 1 species
UACGUAGGGUGCGAGCGUUGUCCGGAAUUAUUGGGCGUAAAGGGCUCGUAGGCGGUUUGUCGCGUCGGGAGUGAAAACGCCGUGCUUAACACGGCGCUUGCUUUCGAUACGGGCAGACUAGAGGUAUUCAGGGGAGAACGGAAUUCCUGGUGUAGCGGUGAAAUGCGCAGAUAUCAGGAGGAACACCGGUGGCGAAGGCGGUUCUCUGGGAAUGACCUGACGCUGAGGAGCGAAAGUGUGGGGAGCGAACAGGAUUAGAAACCGGGUAGUCC